GUCGCUUCUCGGCCUUUUGGCUAAGAUCAAGUGUAGUAUCUGUUCUCAUUAGUGUGCAUUAGUGUUCUCCAGUGUGUUUGUAGCAUUUUCUCCAGGAUUAGUUAAGUAUCAUUUGUUUCUGCUGUUUCUAAUUCAGUUGAGUCGUCACUGUAGUAACCCUGGUCCUGGAGAGCUACAGGGUCUGUGGUUUUCCU